AUGGGGUCCAAACCGUUCUUCGCCUGCGCCGUCCUCCUGAUCGCCAUCGCCGCCGCGGCAGUCACGCCGGCGUCCGCGGCCGGAGCGAACCCCAUCGCCAUGGGCGGUGGCUCCGACGAGACGGCAACAACAUGCGUGCCGACGCUUGAGCGCCUGCUGUCGUGCCUGGACUUCAUCGAGCACCGCACCGACGCGAUCCCGCUGCCCUGCUGCGUCCAGGUGAACACCACGGUGGCCCAGCAGCCGUGCUGCCUCAUGCACGUCCUGCGCGGCGACGUCGCGCGGCUCAUGGGGCCGGACUUCGACAGCACCCGCGCCAUGGUCAACGUCACCUCCCAGUGCCUCGGCGACGGCUCGAUCCUCAUGUCCAUCACUCGUUCGUGCGCAGGCAAGCCGCUUCCGCCGCUGACGCCUGAAUACCCCUUCACUGCCGCGUUGCCGCCGCCGCCGCCGUCAUCGUCAGGAGCAGAACGGCUGGAAGGCUUGUCUUACGCCGUAUUGCUAGUUGCACUCGUUGCAAGCUUCUUGUGA
rnacentral:rRNA from 1 species